rnacentral:sRNA from 1 species
UUAAAUAUUUUUAUAAAAUGGUAAACGAACGUUCAGGUACAAUAGAACAAUUGCGACAAUGGAAUUCAUUUAACCCCUGUGGCCUCCAGGUACUGUUUUCUGGAACAAAAGUGGCAGCAGACAUUGGGCUGGAUCGUUGUCAAUAUUUUCAUUUAAAAUUCCUACAGGAGAGAGAUAAGCAGAUCCAGACCAUAAUAUAUUUUUUUCCGAUUCAAAAAUAUCGUUUAACAAGACGUUAUCGUGCAUAGGCAGUUUAUCAACAAAAAGUUUUUGGUGGCGCAAAACAUAGCUGCAUAGUGGCUCAACUCCAGAACCAUCAUAUACAUAUGAGUUGGAGUGCUUCUUUGUUCGAGUUGCAUAGUGUCUAUUAAUACAUUUUUGCAAGAUCUUCCUUUCAAAGAUUUCCAUUUCUUUGGCGACUAUUGGGGAAAUAGUGAACCAGACUGGAAAUGCAUAUGUCAGAACUGAUCUGAUGGCCACUUUGUAUAAAAGAAGUUUGGUUCGCUGCGGCAGGUAUUUGUUGUUGAAUAGAAUGCGCUCGAAAAGUUUACCCACGUUUGACAGUAAAGAAAUUGGACGAAAAUCUGCUGCAGUUUCGCUGUUUGGUUUCUUCUUGAUUGGAACAAUUUUAGCUAUUUUCCAAUCUUCGGGAAAGUAACCGUUAUUAAUACAAUUGUUGUAUAGUGACAAUUCGUGAAGUGAAAGUUGUCUAGAUUUUCAAGAGCAUUAAGGUUCUCAUCAAACGUGUAAAUGUGGUUGGGGACAACACUGAUGCAGGAAGAUAUUUUUUCAUCAAGAUCACGAACAGGCCUCUCCGGAAUUGUUUCGCGGAAGGAAGAUGAAUAGAAAAUUUGGAAUUGCUCAGCAAUAUCAUUGCUAGUUGUGAAAAUAUUAUCAUUCUGUUGAAGAUGUUGGCAAAAGGGAGUUCUUUUUUUUUCCUGUGAUGGCGUAUAUUUCUUUGAAUGCGGACGGACCAGUAGUUGAAGUUGCUUAGAAAGAACUUUGUACACACUGCUGAGACGAUUUCCAGAGCGAUGAUAAAUUCUUUUCAACUCCUUUUGCCACUGGUGUUUUAUUUUGAAGAUUUUCUUCGCUUUCUCCGAGAGAGGAAAUUUAUUAUCGUUGAUUACCACAUUUUCGGAAUGAGCAUCAUGAACAGCAGCAAGAGAAUCGUUGAAAUCUCCUAUCAAUAAAUCAAUUUCCUGAUUAUUGAGGUUACGGUUUAUGGGAGGCAUUAUCUGACGAGAUGCAGCAUCUAGAUCAUUACGGAAGUUAUCCCAAUUGGUAUUCUUUUUCAACGGAAAAUGAUCAGAGAAAGUUGGAAUGGUCGUUAUUUCAAAAAGUUGUUCCAUCGAUAAAGUUGGUGCUAAGGAGAAAAUGGUCUAAAAAAGAAUUCGCAUUUGGAUAUGAAGGAGAUGAGUCACAAAACCUGGCGACGUCCAUUGCAUUAUCUUCCAGCCACUUUGACAGUACAUUCCCAUUUGUAUUAUUAAGAGUGUCGCCCCAAGCCAAAUUUCUAGCAUUCAGAUCUCCACCUAAUAUAAAGCCAUCAAAAUUAUCACAUAACUGUGACAAUUUGCUCAAGUCAGCCUCAAGUCUUUGAGGCGAGUAUCUGCUUGGGAUGUAGACAGAUCCAACUAAGUAGCGCUUGAUUGUGUUGUUUACAGAGGAUUCUAUUUGAAUUAGGGAAGAGUUAAUUCCUACAUUAUUUAAUGCAAUCCGAAUGUAUUUAUAUAAUUUUUUAACCACAACAGCAGUACCGACCUGAGAGUUGUCGUAAAUAAAGAAGUACCCAUUUAUUUUAA